ACAAAGAAAAAGGUGCGUGCCGCACUCACGAGGGACUGCCAGUGAGAUACUGGAGGAAGGUGGGGAUGACGUCAAGUCCGCAUGGCCCUUAUGGGCUGGGCCACACACGUGCUACAAUGGCAAUGACAAUGGGAAGCAAGGCUGUAAGGCGGAGCGAAUCCGGAAAGAUUGCCUCAGUUCGGAUUGUUCUCUGCAACUCAGGAACAUGAAGUUGAAAUUGCUAGUAAUCGCAGAUCAGCAUGCCGCGGUGAAUAUGUACCCGGGCCCUGUACACACCGCCCGUCACAUCCUGGGAAUUGGUUUCGCCCGAAGCAUCGGACCAAUGAUCACCCAUGACUUCUGUGUACCACUAGUGCCACAAAGGCCUUUGGUGGUCUUAUUGGCGCACACCACGGUGGGGUCUUCGACUGGGGUGAAGUCGUAACAAGGUAGCCGUAGGGGAACCUGUGGCUGGAUUGAAUCCUUC
rnacentral:ncRNA from 1 species